rnacentral:tRNA from 1 species
GCCUGGGUGGCUCAGUCGGUUGGGCAUCUGACUUUAGCUCAGGUCAUGAUCUCACACUUCAUGGGUUCGAGCCGCAUGUCGGGCU